rnacentral:rRNA from 1 species
UGCAGUCGAGGGGCAUCGGGAUUGAAGCUUGCUUCAAUUGCCGGCGACCGGCGCACGGGUGCGUAACGCGUAUGUAACCUACCUAUAACAGGGGCAUAACACUGAGAAAUUGGUACUAACUCCCCAUAAUAUUCGGAGAGGCAUCUCUCCGGGUUGAAAACUCCGGUGGUUAUAGAUGGACAUGCGUUGUAUUAGCUAGUUGGUGAGGUAACGGCUCACCAAGGCAACGAUACAUAGGGGGACUGAGAGGUUAACCCCCCACACUGGUACUGAGACACGGACCAGACUCCUACGGGAGGCAGCAGUGAGGAAUAUUGGUCAAUGGACGCAAGUCUGAACCAGCCAUGCCGCGUGCAGGAAGACGGCUCUAUGAGUUGUAAACUGCUUUUGUACGAGGGUAAACUCACCUACGUGUAGGUGACUGAAAGUAUCGUACGAAUAAGGAUCGGCUAACUCCGUGCCAGCAGCCGCGGUGAUACGGAGGAUUCAAGCGUUAUCCGGAUUUAUUGGGUUUAAAGGGUGCGUAGGCGGUUUGAUAAGUUAGAGGUGAAAUCCCGGGGCUUAACUCCGGAACUGCCUCUAAUACUGUUAGACUAGAGAGUAGUUGCGGUAGGCGGAAUGUAUGGUGUAGCGGUGAAAUGCUUAGAGAUCAUACAGAACACCGAUUGCGAAGGCAGCUUACCAAACUAUAUCUGACGUUGAGGCACGAAAGCGUGGGGAGCAAA